UGGUUAAGUUGUUUGCCAUCUCAGCCACAGCCUUGUUGAUUUUCGCAACCUCCUCAUCCUUGGAAAAUCCCUUGAAAUCAUGGACAAACCUUUUGAGUGUCUUCUUUUAGGUGCCAUUCAUACCUCCUCGGUGACAUCACCCCAAGCCCAAGCAAGGUUCUUGAUGCAGUCACAGAUGUUGUAAUCCUUCCAGAACUGCGUCAGUGUCUUCUCAGUGUCUUCCUCCGUCGCAGCAAUAGCCUGGGCAAAGGUCCUCCACAGGCAGUGGGCCUUAAAAGCUGCUAUAAGUCCUUGAUCCAUUGGUUGGAUCAAAGAGAUCAUGUUUGGAGGGAGAAACACCGUUUUGAUAUUGGGAUGAAGAUCACCAAUAAAAGGAGGAGGUCCAGGGGCAUUGGCAACAGUAAGCAAAAUCUUGAAAGGAGCUGAAGACUCCAGCCUCUACGGAUGGACUGACUCCAGUGACCCCGGAGUCCAAAGACGG
rnacentral:lncRNA from 1 species